rnacentral:rRNA from 1 species
UGUAAUUUUUUGUAAGUAUAUCGUAUGAGAAGUUUUAUAAAAGAAGUAGUAGUAUAGAUUGUUCUAGUACCUUUUGCAUAAGGGUUUUUCAAGAAAAGUUACUUAUGUAUUAUCCCGAAAAAGAAGAAGCUAUUGUUCUGAGUGCAAAUACCGUAGUACAGUUAUAUUUAACUUAACAAUAAAAGCUAGAUACUUAUUGCCUUUUUUUAUAUCUGGUUGGUCUAUAAUUAUGUUUAGCAUAUGUUGCUUGUAUUAGCAAAUUCAAUGCGUUUGGGCUAAGCUAAGCGUAAAUACAAUGAGUUGUGUUAAAAUAUAGUUGUUAAUGUAGGCUUAAUAUUAGUCAUUUUUAGUUUGUUAUAAAUAAUCCAAAUUAAAACAAUAAAUUUAUUUAUUAAUGUUCAUUCACCUCUAUAGACCUAUUUUUAAGUAAAAAUUAAUAAUGAUAAAAAUGAGUAGAAUGUUAAACUAUAGAAUAAAUUUGCGUGUAAAAAUUUAUUUUACUAAUUUAAAUGUUACUGUCUUUUUGUAAUGAACUCGGCAAAAUUUUAUCUGCGACUGUUUAACAAAAACAUUUCUUCUUGUUAUAAUAUAAGAAGUAGGCCCUGCCCGGUGUGUAAAUAAACGGCGGCCUUAGCGUGAGGGUCUUAAGGUAGCGUGACAAGUCGGCCUUUAAUUGGGGUCUGGUAUGAAAGGGUUUACGUUGGAUAAGCUGUGUCACAAAAAGUUUUUGAAAUUAACUUUAAAGUGAAGAUGCUUUAAUGAGAAAAAAAGACGACAAGACCCUACGAAGCUUUAUCUUAAAUUUAUACUUAAUCAAUUUUUGUAUAAUAAUGAUGAUUUUGUUGGGAAAACAAGGCGGAAAAGUACUGUCUGAAUAAAUCUACUAACUAGUUAAAGUUUAUAUUUGUGUUAUAAGGCAAGCUACUCUAGGGAUAACAGCACAAUUUUUUUUGAGAGCACUAAUCUAAAAAAAAGUUUGUGACCUCGAUGUUGGCUUUGGGUUACCUGAAGGUGUAGAGGCUUUCUAUGGUGGGUCUGUUCGACCUUUAAUUCCCAACAUGAGCUGAGUUCAGACCGGCGCGAGCUAGGUCAGUUUCUAUCUUUUUUGUAAAAUAGGGGGGUUUGGUACGAAAGGACUUCUCAACCAUGAUUCUUUUCAUUUAUUUGUUUAUUGUUUA